AACCUGCCCUUGACUCUGGGAUAAGCACUGGAAACGGUGUCUAAUACCGGAUACGAACUUCAGCCGCAUGGCUAGGAGUUGGAAAGAAUUUCGGUCAAGGAUGGACUCGCGGCCUAUCAGCUUGUUGGUGAGGUAAUGGCUCACCAAGGCGACGACGGGUAGCCGGCCUGAGAGGGCGACCGGCCACACUGGGACUGAGACACGGCCCAGACUCCUACGGGAGGCAGCAGUGGGGAAUAUUGGGCAAUGGACGCAAGUCUGACCCAGCGACGCCGCGUGCGG
rnacentral:rRNA from 1 species